rnacentral:rRNA from 1 species
AGAGUUUGUAUCAUGGCUCAGGAUGAACGCUGGCGGCGUGCCUAACACAUGCAAGUCGAACGGGGUUAACACGCUGACGAGACUUCGGUCAAAAUCUUGUGUUAACUUAGUGGCGAACGGGUGAGUAACGCGUGGGCAACCUGCCCCGUACCGGGGGAUAGCGGCUGGAAACGGCCGGUAAUACCGCAUAAGCGCACGGUGUGGCAUCACACAGUGUGAAAAACUCCGGUGGUACGGGAUGGGCCCGCGUCUGAUUAGCCAGUUGGUGAGGUAACGGCUCACCAAAGCGACGAUCAGUAGCCGGGCUGAGAGGCCGGACGGCCACAUUGGGACUGAGACACGGCCCAGACUCC